GUCCACGCCGUAAACGAUGAAUGCUAGACGCUGGGGUGCAUGCACUUCGGUGUCGCCGCUAACGCAUUAAGCAUUCCGCCUGGGGAGUACGGCCGCAAGGUUAAAACUCAAAGGAAUUGACGGGGGCCCCGCACAAGCGGUGGAGCAUGUGGUUUAAUUCGAAGCAACGCGCAGAACCUUACCAACCCUUGACAUGUCCACUACCGGCUUCAGAGAUGGAGCUUUCAGUUCGGCUGGGUGGAACACAGGUGCUGCAUGGCUGUCGU
rnacentral:rRNA from 1 species